UACAGAGGUGGCAAGCGUUGUUCGGAAUUACUGGGCGUAAAGCGCACGUAGGUGGUCCGCUAAGUCGCGUGUGAAAUCCCCCGGCUCAACCGGGGAAUUGCGCGCGAUACUGGCGGGCUAGAGAUCGGGAGGGGUGAGUGGAACUCCAGGUGGAGCGGUGAAAUGCGUAGAUAUCUGGAGGAACACCGGUGGCGAAAGCGACUCACUGGCCCGACACUGACACUGAGGUGCGAAAGCUAGGGUAGCAAACGGG
rnacentral:rRNA from 1 species